GAUGAACGCUGGCGGCGUGCCUAAUACAUGCAAGUCGAGCGGACAGACGAGGUUCUUGCUCCCCUCACGUUAGCGACGGAUGAGUGAGUAACACGUGGAUACCCUACCUAUAGGACUGGCAUAACUUCGGGAAGCCGGAUCUAGCACCAGCUCAUAUAUUCAACCGGAGGGUUCAACAGUGAAAGCCGUUUCUGCUGUCACUUAUACAGGGAUCCGCGCCGCAUUAGCUAGUUGGGAAGGAAGCAGCUUACCAAGGCAACGAUGCGUAGCCGAACUGCGAGGGUGAUCGGCCACACUGGGACUGAGGCACGGUCCAGAACCCUACGGGAGGGAGCAGGAGGGAAUCUUCCGCAAAGGGCGAAAGCCUGACGGAGCAACGCCGCGGGGGGGAAGAAGGGCGUCGGAUCGUAAAACUCUGUUAUUAGGGAAGAACAAAUGUGUAAGUAACUAGGCACGUCUUGACGGUACCUAAUCAGAAAGCCACGGCUAACUACGUGC
rnacentral:rRNA from 1 species